rnacentral:lncRNA from 1 species
AAUUGUGGAAUUCAUGUUGAAAUCUUGUUGCACAAGCCAAUUCAGAGCAAAUUACACGUCCAAACCCUUGGCAUUUGAACUCAGCUUGCAUUUGGCAUUACUUUUGGGCCUUGUGCAUGAUCAUGCAAGCCCAUGCAAGUGGUAUCCAAAUUCAUGCACACGGAUCCUCUCACACUUUCCUUGCCAAUUCCUUUAUAAAUAGAGACUUCA